CUUUCUUUAGUUAUGCACCAUGCAUUCCAAAAGUUACAUUCCAUGGUCAUGAUUCCUUCAUCAGGCCCAUCUAGUCUCUUGCCCUCUACAUUUAAGGCCUUGCACCUUUUUCACCUGCAACAACUUUGCAUGAACGAAAAUAGGAUCCAAGAAUCUGGUGCGGUGUGGACUUCUUAAUUUGAUUGGAAACGAUAGGUAAUAUCCCCCGAGUUGUUCUUGAUCGAAGUUUUUGUUCAAGCACUGAACCAUCACUGUCGAGGGACGCCCUUCCAACCAAACUUAGGCUCAUUUUAGCCCAUCAGAAGUCCUGAAUUUGGAGGCAAAGGCCGAAUCGGAGGUCCCCUAUAACCCAGCUCUGUGCAUGUAGCUGCGACAAUACGGGGACAAGGUGGACAGGGCUGUCUUCUGAGCUCGCCCACACAGU
rnacentral:lncRNA from 1 species